CGCUGGCGGCGUGCCUAAUACAUGCAAGUCGAACGGGGAAAGGCUUCGGCCGAGUACUAGUGGCGUACGGGUGAGUAAUACGUGGGUAAUCUGCCUCAAAGUGGGGGAUAACCAAUCGAAAGAUUGGCUAAUACCGCAUAAGACCACAGGAGCUGAGGCUCUAGGGGUAAAAGGUUUUUCGCUUUGAGAUGAGCCCGCGCGGGAUUAGCUAGUUGGUAGGGUAAAAGCCUACCAAGGCUACGAUCUCUAGCUGGUCUGAGAGGAUGAUCAGCCACACUGGAACUGAGACACGGUCCAGACUCCUACGGGAGGCAGCAGUAGGGAAUAUUGCACAAUGGAGGAAACUCUGAUGCAGCGACGCCGCGUGAGUGAUGAAGGACUUCGGUUC
rnacentral:rRNA from 1 species